UUGAGACUUGGGGUGAGGAGAAUGUACUUUCUGGUGGUCAUGGACUAAUGGUUCAAAGUUAUUACCCUGUAAUACAGGCUUUGGCUAAAGACAUUGAUAUCCGUAUGAAUCACAAGUAUGCGUACAUAUUUUCCAAAACAUGAAAAUGCAGUUGUGUCUUUCUCUUUGGCCUUUUCAUAGGUUUUAUAAAUUUAUACUAACUUUUUUAUUUCAAGUUAGUGGCACAUGAUGAAAUGCAUUUUCUGAUGCUCUUGUAAAAUUCAAUUAUACUUUUAAUUGAAUUGAUUUUAUAAAUUAAUACUAAUAUAUU